AGAAGCAUGCAAUAAUAGCUUAUAGAAUGCCUUGGUGUUCCCCCAGAGAAUCUGGGAUGUAAAAGCCUUGGAAAACCAUUCUAUGAGACGCUACUUCU
rnacentral:sRNA from 12 species